CGGAAACAAGAAGUAUGCUGGCUCACUGUGCUGCAUACAGUUACACACUACGUCGUACGAUUGAGACAAGGAAACUUGGAAUGACUUUUCAUAGGUUUCCCAGAGACUAUGGGUUGAGGAGGAAUUGGAAGUUUGUCGGCUUAGACCUGGUGUCAUUCCAUCAGUGUUAAACUUCCCGGCUCAUCUUGGAAGAGUAUGUGCCAGAAAGACCACAACCAAGCAGCCUUGAGAUCUUAGGCAGCGUCUCCCUCAGUUCAAAGGUCCCUCUCUAUCUCCCCACACAUCCACCAACCACUGGAACACAUCUCCAAAGUUCUGCUGGACCAGCUCAGCUUCCCCUCAGAAGAAGUGCUGCCACCUGCCAGAUGAAGGAGCCUUUUGAGAGGCAGCUGGCAUCGUGAUUGGACUGUACUUUGGUCUGUUCCAGUCCAGCUUCAGCUCCAGAGACGGCAGGCGGGACGAGUCAACGGAGGCCUGGUGGACGAAGGCAUGAAGCUGAGUACAAUCCAGAAAACAACAGAGGAGGAGUGCAGCUGCCCAGAGCCAGAACAAACAGAGUAGCAUGACCAAAGAACUACAGACUCUUCACAACCUGCUCAAACUCUUGGUACAGGACCUCACCACACGGGUCAAGAAGGUUUCUGUCUCAUUUCUACUCUGAAGCUCACCUUCUCCUGCUCAAACUGCUGACAAAUGUUUCUGCUGCUCUAAAGUCUGGUCUCCAGAACUUCCUAAAAACUCUCAAAGUCUCUUCUGCUGCAGGUUGCUUUGUAGAACUGUUCCAGAAAACCUCACUAAACCACAUGGAGG